CCUACGGCAGCCUCCUGCUCAUGGCGCUGCUGCCCAUCUUCUUCGGCGCCCUGCGCUCCGUACGCUGCGCCCGCGGCAAGAAUGCUUCAGACAUGCCUGAAACAAUCACCAGCCGGGAUGCCGCCCGCUUCCCCAUCAUCGCCAGCUGCACACUCUUGGGGCUCUACCUCUUUUUCAAAGUUUAUUUUCCCAAUAAAAGUUAUACAGGCUCAGUGUUGAAAACCUGGAAAACACAGAAAAGUAAAAAGGGAAAAACAGCAGUCAUCCAAAACCCCACUACCAGAGACAGUCACAGUUUCCCUUCGGAGAUAUUCUCCCAGGAGUACAUCAACCUCCUGCUGUCCAUGUAUUUCUUCGU
rnacentral:sRNA from 1 species